rnacentral:tRNA from 1 species
GUUUUAAUAAUUUAAAUAAAAUAUUGGUCUUGUAAACCAAAAAUAAGUCUUGCUUUUAAAACA